ensembl:lncRNA
AAAGCUGUGUGGAUACUGGCUCUUCUGUGUCUGCAGGUCUGUCUGCUCUCCACAGAGGCCCAACCUGGAACAGACAGACUGACAGCUGCCCAAACCAACCAAGACAUGUCAGACCAAGGAGAUUCUCCAGUACUUCCUCCUCAUCAACCUCGUCCAUUUCCUUCAACUCUGGAUUCAAGGAUUAAAAGAGAGGGGAGGGACCAGAGUGAACGCCAGAAGAAGCCUAACAACUACCCAGGAGUGGGGAGUCCUGUGGGAAGAGGCAACCAAUCACAAACAGAAACAUCCAAAGAGUUUGUAUAGAAAACAAAGCUUGAGGAAAGGAUCGUCUUUACAUGCAUAUAUACCACAUCGUAAUCUGAGGGGGGCCUGUAAGGACAGCUUGCACCCCGGCCCGGCAGCACCACGCUACACCAGUACAUCCACUGUAUUUGUGACAACUGUGCCCUCUGCUGCUUCACCUCCCCCUGCAGCAGACAGACUCCAGCGUUCGACGUCACCGGCCUUCUGACACCACCGUCCAUCUCAUCAUGCAUUUCACCUGUGUCUUGUUUAGCGCACCUGGUUCUCAUCCUCAUCAUUCCCCCCAGUAUAUAUGUUCCCUCUGCUCCCCCUGUCUAUGUGUGUAAUUGUCUCUGUGUUACAAAGAGCAGUGUUGCGCUUCGCAUAUAUCACUCGAUUAUUAAAAGAUUCUACAAAAGUAUUACGCCGUUCUCCUGCUCCUCCUUGUUCCGCCCCGAAGACGUGACAGUGUUUGAAUAUCUAUUGUGGCAGGUGACGGGGAGUGGUGAGGGGAGUGGUGAGGGGAGUGGUGACGGGGAGUGGUGAGGGGACUGGUGAGGGGAGUGGUCAGGGGAGUGGUGAGGGGAGUGGUGAUUGAGAGAAGAUAUCGGAUGGUCACAAUAACACAAUACAACUGGCUCUGUGAACACUCACAAUAACACAAUACAACUGGCUCUGUGAACAAUAUACUUGAAAACAUUUUGCAAAGUUCCAGAAGGAAGAUCUUCACCAACAGAUUAUCAAUAUUCAGCUGUUUUCACACACAUUUCUGUUUCAUUUAAUCUUUUUGCAAAGCAAAAUUGUCAUCAUGUAAUCAUUUUAAGUUAACUGAAAGACAGAGAAAUAGAGACCGUGAACGUAAGAAAGAUAAAGAGAGAUAGAAAGAGACUCAGAAAGAGGCAGUGAGAAAGGAAGUGAGUGAAAUUCAGGCGUGUCUCUGUGAUUUAGGUAUAAAGAGUGCUGAGUGUGUAGUCAGGGUCCAGUACAUCAGUAUGGAGAAAGCUGUGUGGCUACUGGCUCUUCUGUGUCUGCAGGUCUGUCUGCUCUCCACAGAGGCCCAACCUGGAACAGACAGACUUACAGCUGCCCAAACCAACCAAGACAUGGAUUUAAGGAUUAAAAAUGGGAUGAGUGUCCGGAUUAAACGCCAGAAGAAUCCCUCAAAAUAUCGCACCCGCCCAGGAUCGUUGUCUGCUCCGGUAAGAGACAACUAAACACACUCAUGAACAUCCAAAGAAGUUGUAUAGGAAACAAAGCUUGAGGAAAUGUGCUCAUUAAAAUGUCUUGAUGACAUCACGGAUUAAAGUGUCAUUAAAUGAAAACUGUUAUUUUCUUUGUCACAACAUUAUGUAGGGACUCGUUGGUCCUUCUUCUCGUGAUCAUCCUCAUCUGUUUCCUCCAACUCAGGUGACGGGGAGUGGUGAGGGGAGUGGUGAUUGAGAGAAGAUAUCUGAUGGCCCACUGGCUCCACCCCCCGAGCCUUAUAUGGACUUCCCCCAGCAGGGGGGAGGGGAAGGUGUGCAGAGCGUGUGUUUCAAUAGCCUUAUCUGUGUGAUUACCUGUUGUGACCUGGACUGUCUGAUUACCCCCCUGUGUACCAAACUGGUUUGGACGAGGACCCGAUUACCUCUGGAAAAAGGACAACAAACUACAAGAACGAAG